CUGCGUGCUGUGUCGUUCCUCCAACUAGGCUAGUUCAUAGGUGGGGCAGGUCUUUUGCACUACAUGGGCAUGGUGAAAGCUCUGUACUUAAUGCUCCCACACAACGACAACAAUACUUAUAUCUUAGUGCUAAUGAUCAAUCACGUGGUUGUACGUAAUCACAUUCUUAAUUCUAAAUUAGACAAACACAAAUGUAAAGGACGAAUAAUAUAAUGCACCUAUGUAUAGCAUAAUACAACAUAAAAACUUCUACUUUCUCUAGUGUUCUCAUCCUCUAUACUAAUAUAGUAACGUAAAAAUUUAAAACAAAAAAAACAAAAUAAUAAAGUUUCCUAAGAAAAAAAUUAGUGGCAUUGGUAUUAGCCUUUAAACAAAAUGAAACUAAUAAGGACAACACACAAUUUAAACAGAAAUUACGCUUUUCCACAAUAUGAAAGAUAAGCAUAUAAUGGUGGGAUUCUCACAAGAUGGAAGUUAUCUAAAAACGAAUGAAUCAACGACAUUGCUAUUACCCUUAAAGGAGAAAGCAAUAAAAUAAAAAAUAAAAAAGUCAAAAUAAGGAAGUUUUCUAAAGAAUGAAUUAGUGGCAUUCAUAUAAACCUUUAAGAAAAAGAAAAUGAAAAAGAUAGAAAUUUUGCACACAAUUUACACAUAAAUUGCACUUUUCUAUAGUAUGCAAAAACAAGCAUAUAAUAGUGGAGUUUUCGUAAAAUAAAAGUUUCCUCAGAACGAAUGAAUUAAUGGCAUUCGUAUUACCAUUAAAGCAGACAAAAACUGAAACACAAACUAAAACUAAAUCAAAAUAAUGAAGUUUUCUAAGGAAGAAUGAAUUAGUGGCAUGGUAUUAUACUUUAAGAAAAACAAAAAAGAAAUAAAUACUAAAACAAAAUCAAAAUAAUUAGUGGCUUUUGUAUUACCCUUCAAGAAGAAAGAAAAUGAAAUCAAACUAAAACAAAAUCAAACAAUGAGGUUUCCUAAGAAAGAAUGAAUUUGUUGCAUUGGUAUUACCCUUUAGUAAAAAGAAAAUGGAAAAAAAUAUGUAAAACAAAUAAUGACAAAUUUUGCACACAAUUGACACAUAAAUUGCAAAUUUCUAUAGUAUGCAAAAAUAAGCAUAUAAUAGUGGAAUUUUCGCCAAAAGAAGUUUCCUAAGUACGAAUGAAUUAGAUUAGACCGAAACUGAAACGAAAACUGAAAUAAAAUCAAAAUAAUGAAGGUUUUUAAGGAAGAAUGAAUUAGUGGCAUGGUAUUACUCUUUAAGAAAUACGAAAAGAAAUACAUACUAAAACAAAAUCAAAAUAAUGAGGUUUUCUAGGAAAGAAUGAAUUACUGGCUUUGGUAUUGCCCUUCAAGAAGAGAGAAAAUGAAUUCAAACUAUUACAAAAUCAGACGAUGUGGUUUUUUAAGAAUGAAUGAAUUGGUGGGUUAGUUUUACCCUUUAGUAAAAAGAAAACGAAAAACUAUCUGAAAUAAACAAUGACAAAAUUUGCACACAAUAUACCCAAAAAUUGCGCUUGUUUAAAAUAUGCAAGAAUAAGCAUGUACUGCGGAAAUUUUCGCCAAAAAAUCCUACACAAGAAUGAUCAAUGGCAUUGAUAUUACCCUUAAUGAAGGAACAAAAUAAAAUUAUGACUAUUUCAAAAUCAAAAUAAUAAACUUUUAUAAGAAAAAUGAAAUAGUGGCAUUGGUAUUCCUUUUUAAGAAGAAAAAUAAUGAAUUUAGAAAAAACUUGCACACAACUUCACACUAAAAUUGCUUUUUUCUGUAGUAUACCAACAACAAUCAUAUGACAGUGUAAUUUUCGCGCAUAUUGUAUUGUAUAGCAUUUGAAUAUAUAUAUUUAGACUCACCCAACACCCAAAAAUACCUAAAAAAGAAAAUAAUAUAAUCUAACUAAUAAAGAAUAACAAAAAACAAAAGAAGAAACACAUAAAACAUAUUUCUUUUAAAGAAAAACAAUGUGGCAAAGGGGAGGGCUGGGUGGCAUACGUGGGCUUCAGCCCAGUAGGAAGUUGACUGACCCAAAUAUGUGGUCAGUCAAAAAACAAAAUCUAAGCCAGCUCAUAGUACUCAAUGGCCAGAAAAAUCUAUAGGGAAGUGACUGAAGGCAAAAAAAUCAAUGGCCAGAAAAAUCGACUGACCAAAAGUGUUUUUUCAGGCAACUUACGUGUAGCUAAUGUGUAAAAUAAAAGAGCAGCAAAUCAACUUUUGUCCACGAUAAAGCAGAAGCGAGAGAUCCGCCUAUCAAAACAUGUGAUGUACGUCGGUUGACGGGGCAACAUACGGCUCCUAGCUUUUUUUUCCCAAACAUUGGCCGUACAACAGGAGGAUUUUGUGAACACGCUCAGGAAGGAAAAAAAAGUUAUAUUAUGGAGCUCCCAAACUUGAAACGCAUGCUGCGAUUUGAUACGAGAGCUUUCAAAGUGUGCGUUGCAGUCCCAAACUUGGCACGCCAACGACGAUAAGGUUAACGGCUGCGCCUGCUGGCAGCCACAUCAGAUUUGUUUGUCGAGCUGGCCACACAGUUAACGGCUGUUACAAUGUUGUUCAUACCCCCGCGGUCUAUGCCAUUCACACCUUUAGUCACUCAUUUGGUGUCUCUGCAGUGAAUGUUGUGUUGCGUGUUCAUACUGCUCUGCCACCGCUCUCGCUCUCGCCCUCUUCCUCGCACAGUAGAUCCGCCGCCACGGCCGGUGCCGCCUGCGUGGCGUGACCAUGCCGUUGGUGAAUGACCGAGGUUCAUCCUCUGAUGAUUCGACGAGUAGAAUGGUGUUGCUUUGGCUUUUCAAAAUUUGGGGAUUUGCCGUUUCCCUAUAUUGAAUCGAUUUGGUUGAUGUUUAGAUGUUGUACACGAUUUCGUACAGGGAUUGAAGUGGACUAGCAAUGGAUGUGUCAGCUCGAUGCCUCCAUAAGCUCCCAUGCGAAAAGAAGUUGGCUGAUACCGGGAGGAAAGGUCUUAGGUGUGCAGGCCAUAUGAGUUCUUUUUACCAGUGUGUAAUCAGGACAUGUGUGUAACCUGGACAUGUGUAAUCAACUUGGGCGUGUGUAAUCAAGACAUGUGCAUGCACUUGACCAAUCCUAUAAAAUAUGUGCAUGUUUGUCUGUUGAUGAUGCUUUAAGCUUAUUACCAAAAUAGCUCAUUACUAAAUUCAAGUACUUCAGUUGACCCAUGAUAUAAACUUUUGUUGAUCAACUCCCAAGUCAUGUAUAUAUGAACGUGUGUAUAAGCACCUGCGGAAGUUGCUUUUGUGCAUCAGCAAACAUUGAGAGAAAAAAACUUUGAAGGUACUACACGUGCAUUUAGCUGAUCACGAGUUGUUGUGAAGAGUUUUCGCCGAGAGAGAUUCAUGUACGAGAAGCUGCAUGUAUACAAAAACAUCAUGUAAUUACACAUAGUCAAUUUUCGCUACAACUGACCCAGGAAGAAGCUUCUCUACUGAUGCUAAUCAACAACAUAAUGAUCCUGUUCAAAAUAAUAAAAUAAAUAAGACAACAACUCAACCCUGGACUUUUAGUCCGAGGAAACGUGAUCCUAGACUUGUACUCGGAAGCUAGAGCUGCAGAUGGCGAUGUCAUGUGGCAACCGAGCUAUCGGUGUCCUUGCUCGAUGAGCACCGAUGCCGCAGUGCACUGGCCUCACCUAAAAAUGGAAGAAAAGGUAUGUCAUAAUUAAGUAUAGUCAUAAUCAAAGUGGUGUUCAUCCAAGAACUCAACAACUCACCGAAUGUAUCCUGGGGUGGAGCUAUGCUCGGCAACUCACCAAGUAUAUCCUGUGGUGUAGCGAUACAAGCUAGGGGGGCACCGCCCCCCUAUCCUAGAAAAUCAUCUUUUUCGACAAAGCCUAGAGAGUCAUCUGGAGGGCUCAGAUGGAAUAAAUAGUGUUUUGCCCCUCAAAUCUUCAGAUUUUAAAAUUUGAUUUCCAGUAAGUAUUUCUCUAGCCCUGUAAAGCUGGAUGUGAGUGGCGUUGCAAAUAGGGCACAACAUGUCCAUGGUGAGCCACCGCUUGAUGCACCGUUGAUGGAAAAUGUGGUUGCAAUCAAGCUUUUCUGGUGCCCGUAAACGGCAUGUUAGUGUACUGACGGUGAGGGGUGGGAGCGUUCCUGAAAGGUAUCUGUUUCUUUCGUUUAAGGAUUGGUGACUUGACACUGAUUCCGUCUCUAAUGUCGCAUUCUUCGGUGUGGGCGAUAACUGUGUCGACCAGGAGAUGCUCGUGUCGAGUGAUAGCAGGUGGAAUUAAAUCAGCUUCCUCUUCCACUGACGGAUGCAAUGGACAACCAUCAUGACUAGCGACCUCACGACAGAAAUGGCCAUGAAGAUGAAGGGCAAUGAUCUCUCUAGAGUGGACCGGCCUACUAGAUCUGUCGGCUGACUUGUCGAUGGGCACUCUUCGGUGGAAGUUGUUGGCUCCCGUAUGACUCAUAUUGCAUACACAACUGAUAGUUAAAAAGGAGCGGUGACUCCAUUAUAUAGCAGAAAGGGAGGGCCAAAGCCGUAGUGUGAUGUUGCCACUGGUCACAGGAGAUGGUAGUAAGGGGUUGAGAGAACGAAUGUGGUGUUGGCAUUUGGGAAAUGACCCGUUGGGGGAAGAGAAGAUGGAAGGUGCUAAGUAUUCUCUUUGAUUACAAGGGUUCUCACAUAAUUAAGGAUACACAGGGCCAAUUCGCUCUUGAGGUAAACGAAGAAGAUAGAGAAGCCAAUCCAAAAAAAUUCCCAUAUGUCUCAUGUUGUUGUUACGAGAACAAGUUCAACUAAGGGGUAUCCUUGGUAACAUUGUCAUAAGUAAAGUUAACAGUGGUGAUGGUGCCAUGUACCAGGGGUACACCGGCAGACCGAAAGUCAGCCCACCGGGCCGGAAAUUGGCCCACCUAGGGCGUUGUCUACUUGGAGUACUAAAGUGACACAUUGAUGUUUUCUAAAAAGGUUAGUCAUCUUGAUGGAGCAUGACCUAAUCCUAUGUUAGGAAGGAGUCAACAUGGGUUUGGUCACAUGUCUGAAUCGUUUGCGACUACCUCGGUAUCCUCUCCCAUGAUCCCUAAUCAACAUCUGUUCCAGUCGUCUGCGACUGCUUGGACUCACCUCAAGAGUUCCCGGUCUUUCGUUCAAAAGUGAGGGUGGAAUGAUUUACGUGCUCAUGACGGGUCUUAUAUUGGGAAGGGUGCAUUGAAAAAUGACCCAGAUUAUUCAUGGUGCUGGUAGGUAGGGGGGUAGGCUAGUAAAAAGUAGGUCCAUGAGUCCCUGCAAACUACUUUCUAUAUGGUCCCCAAUGGUCGCUCUGCCCUCUACUAAUGCAUCUUCAGCUUUCUCAUGGCAUAUCACAUUGUGUGUGUUGAUGACUGACAAUUCACCUUGAACUUUCCCAUGGCAUUUCAUAUUGUGUAUGUUGAUGGUUGGACGGCUUGUUCGUUUGUUUUCUUUGAUGAUGUUGCAUUGAAGCAACAAGACGUUGCUUUGCUUCUAUUUUUCAUGUCAAGCCCAUCAGAAUUUAUCAACACCAGUCAACUUAAAAUUUUCUAAUAUGCGGCAGCAAUGCGCCGGCCAAAACACACCUGAGUACUAGCAAUACUUCAUGCCCUAUAAUGUAGGAUACAGUCCGUUGGUUAAUUUGUUAGUGGGAUGGUUGUGUCUCGCUAGACUGGAUUAUCAUAUCGGUGGUACCGUGGUAGGGGAUGCACUAUCGAUAACCAUGCGGCAACAUUGACUUUGUGAAUCCCGAUGCCCGUAACUCAUGAUUUGAAUAGGUGUUGCAUGAGUCCACAAUCGUGUGAUAGCAUGCCAGAGUGUGUAUGUGUGCUCAAAUCUAAGUUGCACUUCAUAGCUAAGAAAUUGGAUGUCAGUCACUUUUUCCAUUUGUAUAUAAAAGCCUCUCUUGGUCGCCUGUCAAAAAUUAAACCUUUCCAGCUGAAUAAGUGCAUCCCAGUAGCUCAUAUCUAAGACUAAACCUUUAAUCUAGUACUCCCUCCAUCCCAAAAUAAGUGUCAUGGUUUUAGUUUUAUUUAGUUCAAAUUUGAACUAAAACCACUAGAAUGAGCUACUGGUUGUGGAACGUCGGACAACACAGUCUACCGGCUAACAAACCCGGACGGUCCAGUUUAGUCGACGACAGUAUGACUUCGACGCUCGUCCAUUCCUUAUAUCCCACUGUUAAGACAUUCCCCAGUUAACCUGUGGUGGUAGAGGCCACAUAUGAAAUUAUACAAUCGAGGAAUCGGCAUGAGAGCAGCUUGCGGAUGACCAGGCUGCACAUGUAGAAUUCAAUGUAUCACUCUUGCCAUGUAGAUUUUCAGCCUUGAUUCGGGAAGAAAUAUUUAAUAUAUCGACUAACACAUGUAUACUUGCACGUUGCCUUUGAAAAAAAAUAUAAUGAGACAAAGAUGAGGGGAUAAAAUAGUAAUAAUUGAGGCUGCCACGUUGGCGCUUUCUGGUAAAUUGGACAGACAACUACCAACAUAAUGCAUUUCAGAUCAUAUUGGAUUGGAGUACCUUUUUUUUGUUACCAAAUUUAGUGUAGAUGUGUAUUUUCAUAAAUAGAUGACCAAUAUAGGUGCAUUUCGGAUGUCUACAUCAAGAAGCUAGCAGCUAACUAGUUAUGGUGUUCUUACAGUUAACUCUUUAUAUGCAAUUCUUAAAGCUAAUCAAGUAAAAUAUACUUUUAUGAAAUGUGGUGUCCCUAUGUAACUCCAAUAGGUAAGGUGUGUUUGCAUCGCUAUCAUUCCAAAAUAUUAUUUUAACUAGAGAGAGCACAAAAGGAGCUGAAUAGGGAGUGACAAAUGUCUGUUACAUGCAGAAAAACGAAUUUUUAGGUCAUCUGUUUUUGUACCGUGCGGUGGCAAAGAUUGACUGGUGUACAAUAAAAUGUGUUUCCUAAUUGAAUUUAAGGCACAAACACGGCUCAGUUAUUUAGAUGGGUGCUAAGUUCGAUGGUAGAAGUAGGAACUUUUAGCCAUCAGGUCAUUAUGGAAAACCAGAUAUAGUAUCCAUUUUCAGGAUAAAUUUUUCUAGAUUCCUCAUUGAUAACUUUCUCGGUCUGGAACUCAUAAACCAAAGUACAGAAAAAUGCAGCAUCUACCGCCAAACAAAUGUGCAGCAAGAGGUGUCUGAAUUUACCACCUGAUGGGAGACAGAAGCUGCUAGAAUGAGUAACUUAUAAGCUGUUUUUUUUUUUUGCUUUAGACUUUCUAUUUAGCUCUAUGCAAAGAGCUGUUUCCCUAGUUAGUAAGUUCAAGCUGGUCCGUAGUUUGUUUGCUAAUAGUUAAGUACGGUUGAGAUCAGUUUUCAUGCAAAUGGAAUUGGAGGUUUGCACCUAUUGCGCACAAUUUUACUUAGUUUUGUAAGACGGAUUGAAGCAAUCCUAUGCUCAUGUGUGCAAAACAAAUGAAUGUCUUGAAUUUUUCUUUAAAUAGGCGCACCUCCUUAGUUGAAUGAUCACAUUUGCUGUAAGGUAAUUUGCUUAAAUUUUGGAAGCAGAGCUGCAGUUUGAGUGGAUAAAAGCAAUCCAGAUGGCAUAAUAGUAUAGCCAGUGAAGUUCACUAGGUUUUCCACAUGGAAAGAAAGGUGACCGUUCUUAUCUUAAAUCUGCCAAAGUGACUUGUAAUUAAGUUAUAUAUCUUUCAGUUUGCAUACCUUAUCUUAGUAUUCGCUUCCACUAAGAAAACAUAAAAUCUGGAAACAAACAACAUACAGCAGUAGUACCCACAACACAUGACCAGAGCACUAAGUUUAAUUCUCCAAUCACAACAGCACUGAAGUGACAGUCAGGCAAAAAACUGUGCUGAGUGAAACGUCGUAAUACACAUAGCUAUAUGCACACAAAGAGCAGGUCCAGCUUGGAGUGAGAUCGCACACUGAAACUCAGAGAUCAAACUAACAGCCAACGAGCACAUAGCCAUGUCUAAACCAUGCCAAAACUAAGUAUAUACGGGAGGUAGGGAGGAACGGUAAUAAGGAGUUUUAAUACCAUAGAUUCAUACACCAUAGUCCAGAACAGUAUGAAAAAGUUCAAGACAUAAUAACAACCACCAAGUGAUGACAUCGCAGGUGCUACAGCAUCCAUCCAAAAUGACAUAUUCUAUUAGUAGUUAUGACAAGUGAGAAGAGCUAAGAACAAAAGACAUGCUCUAAAUAUCAGGGCAAAGCAAACCAGGAGCCUUGAACAUUCAGAUGCGCCCUGUGGAGAACGGAGCCUCCUCGUCUUAACCUUGAUGCAUCUCAUGGGACGGAAUUGGAAGAAUGCUCUCCUGGAGGCGGUAAUGAGCAAGCCGCAUACAAUGAUUCUUACCAAUUUUAACCAAACCUAAGAAUUUGCCAUCAACGUCACAGUGCAACACAUGUUUGCCAUUGAACCUGACCAGUAGCUCACGCUCAUUUAACACAGCCAUAUCAUUGAACGACUGCACCAUUGAAUCAAUUGGUGUUCUCUUUUUCUUUUUGUAAGAAGUUAAAUAAAGUUGACGUGAUGCCUCCACCGUUGACAGUUCGAUCCGAUACUUGAAAGCCCAGAUUUGGGCCUCGUAAUCUUGCAUCACCCACACAUCCAUAGUGGAGAAACUAGCAGGAGUCGAGCCGGCCCAGAAUGCAAGCGUCCCUUUUAUAUCAAACAGCAUGCUAUUAGGGCAAUGCUGGCCAGGACUGCGCAUCCACCGGAAUGACUCAGCUUCUGUGUCAAACACAAUAAUGUCUACACAUCCUCCUGUGAUGUCACUGGAACCAGAAAGCCACCAAUGCAGGCUGCCACGGUGGUGGACUGGUGGUGAAAAGCCGGAUGAAAAGUGCACCUCAUUCAUUAACUAUUUUCCACAGAAGGUGAUGAGACCGUUGGAAUUUUUACUAUGAUGCGCCUUGGCUUGUCAGAUCCCACUUUGAGGACAUAUACGCUGGAUUUAGACGAGUCAUGUGACCGAGAGAACCAGAGCACCCUAUAUUCUCCAGUUGGAUGGUGGCGGUAGAAACCAAUUACGAAGUUGAAUUGCCCUUGAGGCUGCGGUAGGAUAACAUACUUGCAGGUGACCGGGUUGCAGAUGAAGAAACUGGGUUGCGUGUGAUGGUAGAUAAUCAAGAAGCCAUCGCAGGAGCCUUUGAGAGUGAAACUGAGAUUGCCUUCCCGGACCAACGGCCAGAGCUCUUGACUGGAGGUGCCACCACCGAUGUCACCAAAGACGACAUGACUGACAGCCCGCCCAUGCGCAUCAACAAUGGGAACCAAUGGCUGUCGGCGGUGGUGUUCGAGCAUGAAUUUGGGGGUGGAUGUGGCACUGCGCCAUGACGUGUUGACAACUCGACAACAGCCGACGUCUUUGGAGGGCAAUUGGAUGAGUAUCAUGUCCAUAAUCUCCCCUGGCAGGUCCUCAAGCAUGGUUGCGCCUUUCUUGUCUGGCAUCGUCCUCCGUCGAGUCCAGUCAACUGAAAAGAGAAGCCGAGCUUUAGUGCAAGCUGAAAACCCGCCUCCACUAUUAACUCCUUCGGACCAGUUCAAAUUAAAAAGACAAGCAAGUACAUGGCAAUUUUAAUUUGUAGAACAUGGCAAUUUUAGUUUGUAGAACAUGGCAAUUUUACACUGUAGUUGCCAUAGUGCUUAAACUAAAGUUGCCAUGUGGCAAUUUUAAUUUGUAGAACAUGGCAAUUUUAGUUUUCUGAUGAUGGCAAUUCCAGUACUUUGACCAUAAAAAUAUUUUUUUGUAUAAACCAUGACAAUUUUAAGUGCAUGUAUCAUGGCAAUUUAGUUUAUGGUGCAUGGCAAGUCUAGUUUCUUAAUUCACGUUUCAUAAUAUGUCAAAAUUUACUUUAAAUGUAGAAGAAAAUAGCUUAAACAUAUCAUGGCAACUUUAGUGUAAACAUCAUGGCAGUUCAUGUGCAAUAGACAUGGCAACUUUUAACCCGAAAAAAAAUCGUCAAAAUAUAUUGACAUGGGAUCUAGUUUCGAAGAUCACGUCACGUGGGAUUUAAUGGUGAAAACAGAUCUUCAAUCGGAUUUUUCAUUUAAGAGAUAAAAUAUUUUAAAAACUGAAAAUCCAAAAAGAUUCCCACAUGCAUGCAUGCGGUGAUGUGGCGCAGUCUGUAUGUUAUAGUGCAUGUGGGCGGGUUUGGCUUCCACCACACGUGUGGACGUUAGCGUUGUCCUAAUUUUUUGGGCGUAUAAAAUCAGCCUUUUUCCUCUCCAGCAACCAACUUGAAACACCCCUCUCUCUCCCAUUCCGAGCAUGUCGUCUCCCCCACCCAUAUAUAAUUUUCUCAGACUUCAAUCACCUUCCCCAAGUGCGGCCUCCUCGAAGGUAAGAGGAAUAGUGAUGGAGUUCCGAGGCCGAACAAAGCCGGCGAUGACACGGCUUGGAGGCAAGUCCAAGUCCUGCCAAGUGCAAGAGGGGAGGAGGCUUUUCGCUCACCCCCAGUUGAUUAGACGAAGCACGAGCUCGAGACGGGGAAUGCGGGGCGAGCGGUACCAAGGCGGGUAGUUUUCAAUGAGGUUUGGAUGAACUCAUCGGAAGCGAGCAAGGGUGGUUUGUGUUGUCGCAAAUCGUCGACACAUUUAAAUUUGGGGGGCGGGGGGAAUAAAAGUCCAUGCAGAUUGAAGGUAAAAAGACGAAGUGUCAGCCCUUUAAUUUCAAUCCAAUGGUUGCGAUAGAAGUGGGGACACCAACUAACACCUAAUUUUAUUCUAGACGAUUGAUGCACAGUUGCUCCUUAUUAACGGGGCCUCCUCGCCCUAUCUUGCCCAACCAUGGUGUCGCUAGUCAUGGGGGCAUCUCUUGACCAUCGCUGACACCGUGCACAAUCUUUUACUUAUGCUUGAACGCAAACGGGGAAUUGGAUGAUUUGCCCUAGGGUUGUUUCAAUGACAGUAGCCCCCGGCCUUACCUUGUAGCCUCUCNNNNNNNNNNNNNNNNNNNNNNNNNNNNNNNNNNNNNNNNNNNNNNNNNNNNNNNNNNNNNNNNNNNNNNNNNNNNNNNNNNNNNNNNNNNNNNNNNNNNNNNNNNNNNNNNNNNNNNNNNNNNNNNNNNNNNNNNNNNNNNNNNNNNNNNNNNNNNNNNNNNNNNNNNNNNNNNNNNNNNNNNNNNNNNNNNNNNNNNNNNNNNNNNNNNNNNNNNNNNNNNNNNNNNNNNNNNNNNNNNNNNNNNNNNNNNNNNNNNNNNNNNNNNNNNNNNNNNNNNNNNNNNNNNNNNNNNNNNNNNNNNNNNNNNNNNNNNNNNNNNNNNNNNNNNNNNNNNNNNNNNNNNNNNNNNNNNNNNNNNNNNNNNNNNNNNNNNNNNNNNNNNNNNNNNNNNNNNNNNNNNNNNNNNNNNNNNNNNNNNNNNNNNNNNNNNNNNNNNNNNNNNNNNNNNNNNNNNNNNNNNNNNNNNNNNNNNNNNNNNNNNNNNNNNNNNNNNNNNNNNNNNNNNNNNNNNNNNNNNNNNNNNNNNNNNNNNNNNNNNNNNNNNNNNNNNNNNNNNNNNNNNNNNNNNNNNNNNNNNNNNNNNNNNNNNNNNNNNNNNNNNNNNNNNNNNNNNNNNNNNNNNNNNNNNNNNNNNNNNNNNNNNNNNNNNNNNNNNNNNNNNNNNNNNNNNNNNNNNNNNNNNNNNNNNNNNNNNNACCGGUGUGGUGGUGUUCGGUGGCGGCAGGAGGGCCGUGGUAGGCAUGUUCUGUUGCACAGGGUGGAUGCGUACAAGUUGGUCCACGUCUAGAUCGGCUGGAUUUGUCUUUGGUGGCCCGCUUGUGGUGUGGGGCGAGGUGCUGGUGUCCAUGAAGACGCGGGAAACUCUGGGGGAAACCUAGAUCUCUUUAGUAUCGAGCGAUGACGGUGCUUUUGUGUCGUAUUCCCUCUUGAGGGCGCGCGUCGUUUGUGGAGUUACCUCCGGCCGAAGGGACCAACAGUGAUGUCAUACAUCUUUAUGGUGAGCCUCCGCGCGGACCCAGUCAACGGCAAGAUCGGGGUCACACAACUGGCAGUAAAAAUCGUGUCGACUACGGUCGUGGCAGAUGAUGGCGGCGUCUCCGACGUUGGUUACCUGUCGAGGCAUCGUAGUUGCAGGUUGCGUCACCAUGCUCGGGUUGUCCCGGGGGAAACCCAAGAUCUGUGUCUCUUGGAUCAGACGAUGACGACACCUUUGGUGUCAUUCUCCCUCCUGGGGGCAUCAUUUUGGGGCAAGUGCUAGCUAGAGGGGGCAAGAGAUGAAGUGGUUUUGCAUCUUCAGCUUCGAGGCAACGGGUCUCGAUGGUGUGGUGCAGCAGGGGUCUCGGUGUUGGACGCAUUUGAUGGGCGUGCGCAGGAGGAUGGCGUUGUCUGGUUGGGGGAGUCAACGACACAAGGUCCUAGCAAGGUCAAUGCAUUGAUCACUCUUUGAAAUUGCACGACAGAAGAUGGCAGAUUCUAAAGUGCACGCAUGCAGUGCGUGCUGAGUUUCCGCUACACCGGUUGGUGCUCCCUGCUCGCAAGCGGGUGGCUUGGUCAAGCCAGCGGAUUACAUGGUGUGUGCUAGGUCUAUGUCAGUGCACAUCAUUAACUUUGUAGAUUUUUUUUUGUGAGAAACCAUCAACUUUCUAGGUAUGGCGGCUGUGUUUGCGAAAGGCUUUGUUGAGUAAUAUAACAAAGAUGGUUGUGUGCAUCCUUCGAUGCAGGCAGGGGUUUAUCCUCCUUUUUGAGAAAAUGUAUAUGUAUAUCACAUGAAAUUCAUCAUAGAGGCCAAGCUGAAAAACUCAAGCAGCCGACAAAUUUUGUGCUGAUCUUAGAGGCAAUCAUUGAGCCUAACAGCUUCUAAGCAUUUCGUGAAUGCAUUUGCUAAAGGCAUUUUAUUUGUGAAGCUUUCCAUUAAUUUUCAAUUGCAGACCCCAUAAACUUUGGGCUCAUCGAUUCCAAAAAAGCAUUCAACAUUUACACCUACGUACACACCUUAAUGCUCGCACAAAUAAGAUAACUUAUAUUCUGCAAGAAAAAAAAUGAAAACAAGAGGCUAAAAGAGCAAGCAAUGAAUGCUGCAUUUCAGAUCAUAUUCUGCCACUUUACCAAGUUUAGUGCUUGUGGGCAUUUUCAGAAACGGAAGACCAAAAUAGACCACGAUUGUGUUUUAUUCUUCAUUGGCAUCGGCAUGCUAGAGAUUUGCCCCUCGUUGCCUUAUAAUUGAUCGACGAAUCACUUGAAUCAAAACUGCACGAUGUGGUGAUCCGUAUGAUACUGUGAGUGGUAAGGUUAACAGCUUGUUACUGGAAACGAGAAGAAAAAAUAUAUCUAUUUGCGAAUUAGCAGUGCUAGAUGUUUAGCCCGACAUGCGUGGAGAAAACUGCAUGUGCGAUAGCUGGAAAUGUCUUGGCCUGUUGAGGCCGACGGGUUCGUGUUAAUAUAGUGGAGCGCACCACCCACAUAGCGCAUACAAUGCGGUUUAGAUUACACACGAGAGAGGGAGAUAUUCAAGGAUAAGAUAGAACUUGGAGAGAAAGAAAUAACCUAUCUCUAUCUACCCUAACUACCUCCAGGUGCGGUGCAUAAUAACACAUUUAACACACUCCCUUAAUCACAACUUCAUUAAAUUGAGAUUAUGCUUGAAGACUUCAAAACUCCGUGUGGGCAAAGGCUUUGUGAAUCCAUCUGCAAUCUGAUCCUUUGAAUGCACAAACUAAAUGUCAAGUUGCCUUUGAGCAACUCUCUCUCUGACAAAAUGAAAGUCUAUCUCUAUAUGCUUUGUCCUAGCAUGGAAUACAGGAUUAGCAGAAAGCUAAGUAGCACCAAGGUUGUCACACCACAAGCACGGAGCUUGUUUGCUCUUCACACCAAGCUCUUUCAACAUAGACUGAACCCAUAUGAUUUCAGCUGUAGCAUUUGCCAAUGCUUUGUACUCUGCCUCAGUGCUUGACCUGGAUACGGUAGCCUGUUUGCGUGCACACCAUGAUAUUAAGUUAGGUCAAAAAAAUACUGCAAAGCCAACUGUUGAGUGCCUGUCAUCCAGGCAGCCUGCCCAAUCGGAGUCAGAAAAGGCACUGACAAGAGUACAGGAUGACUUGCUGAAAUUAAGACCUAUACUAAGAGUAUGUUUAACAUAUCUGACUAUGCGCUUGGCAGCUGUCAAGUGAACAUUGGUAGGUGCAUGCAAAAACUGGCAGACUUUGUUAAUAGCAAAGGAAAGAUCAGGCCUGGUAAGAGUUAGAUACAGAAGAGCUCCUACUAGACUUCUAUAUUUUGUGCUAUUUCCUGACUCAAGGGUUUACCUUCUGCAAGAGAAAAAUUUUCUGAGAUGGAUAAUGGAGUGAGUGAGGGUUUACAACCUUGCAGUCCUUCCUUUUUAACCAGAUCAGCUGCAUACUUUGCUUGAGAGAGGUGAAGUCCAUCCUGAUGAUUCUUUACCUCAAUCCCAAGGAAAUAGUGCAAGUCUCCAAGAUCCUUUAAUGCAAAAUCUGCACUCAAGUCUUUUAAGAGUCCUCUGAUUGCCUCAUCAGAUGAGCUAGUCACAAUGAUAUCAUCAACAUGGAUGAGAACAACUAUGCAUGUAUUGGAUCUGUUAUAAAUAAAUAAUGAUGUGUCUGACUUAGAAGGAACAAAUCUAAGUGUUUGCAUCUUGUGACAGAGACGAGAGUACCACGCCCUUGGAAUGAUACACUGUAUUAUCGUUUUCAUGUGAAUGAAAUUGGAGGCAUGCACUUAAAUUAAAAAAGAAAGAAGCUACGACCUUGUCACCUUGUUAUUCAAAGUUUGAGUUAAAUAAACUCAGCCGUCAUAUAAACAGUAUUGCUCACAGUCUAUCUAUAUAUCUAUCUAUAAAUCUAUAUCUAUCCAUAUCUAUCUAUCUAUAACUCUACUAAUUGAAGUCUCCCUAGAAAUUGCCACGUGAAUUAGAAAUUAGGAGCAGUUCAUCUCGUGGGACUGAGUUAUUACAGUAGAGAUUAACCCAGAUGACUCCUUUCACCCUAAUUUACCCCUGUAUUUCAGAAUGCUAUCAAAUUACCAAUAUGUCCUUACCUCUCUUCUUUCUCUCUUCAUGUCACGUGGAUGUCGUCCUUGUUGGGGAUCGUAGCAGAAUUUUAAAAAAUUUCUACGCAUCACCAAGAUCCAUCUAUGGAGUAUACUAGCAACAAGGGAAAAGGAGUGCAUCUACAUACCCUUGUAGAUCGCGAGCGGAAGCGUUCAAGUGAACGAGGUUGAUGGAGUCGUACUCGCCGUGAUCCAAAUCAACGAUGAUCGAGUGCCGAACGGACGGCACCUCCGCGUUCAACACACGUACGGAGCAGCGACGUUUCCUCCUUCUUGAUCCAGCAAGGGGGAAGGAGAGGUUGAUGGAGAUUCAGCAGCACGACGGCGUGGUGGUGGAAGUAGCGGGUAUCUCGGCAGGGCUUCGCCAAGCUUCUGCGAGAGGGAGAGGGAGGCGCCAAGGGCUGUAGUACUGCUGCCCUCCCUUCCCCCCACUAUAUAUAGGCCCCUGGGAGGGGGGGGGGCGCCGGCCCUGGAUCCCAUCUACAAGGGGGGCGGCGGCCAGGGGGGAAACUUGCCCCCCAAGGCAAGUGGGGCGCCCCCCACCCCUAGGGUUUCCAACCCUAGGCGCAGGGGAGGCCCAUGGGGGGGGGCGCCCCAGCCCACUAAGGGCUGGUUCCCCUCCCACUUCAGCCCAUGGGGCCCUCCGGGACAGGUGGCCCCACCCGGUGGACCCCCGGGACCCUUCCGGUGGUCCCGGUACAAUACCGAUAACCCCCGAAACUUUCCCGAUGGCCGAAACUUGACUUCCUAUAUAUAAUUCUUCACCUCCGGACCAUUCUGGAACUCCUCGUGACGUCCAGGAUCUCAUUCGGGACUCCGAACAACUUUCGGGUUUCCGCAUACUAAUAUCUCUACAACCUUAGCAUCACCGAACCUUAAGUGUCUAGACCCUACGGGUUCGGGAGACAUGCAGACAUGACCGAGAUGCCUCUCCGGUCAAUAACCAACAGCGGGAUCUGGAUACCCGUGUUGGCUCCCACAUGUUCCACGAUGAUCUCAUCGGAUGAACCACGAUGUCGAGGAUUCAAUCAAUCCCGUAUACAAUUCCCUUUGUCAAUCGGUACGUUACUUGCCCGAGAUUCGAUCGUCGGUAUCCCAAUACCUUGUUCAAUCUCUUUACCGGCAAGUCACUUUACUCGUACCGUAAUGCAUGAUCCCGUGGCUAACUCCUCAAUCACAUUGAGCUCAUUAUGAUGAUGCAUUACCGAGUGGGCCCAGAUAUACCUCUCCGUCAUACGGAGUGACAAAUCCCAGUUUUGAUCCGUGCCAACCCAACAGACACUUUCGGAGAUACCCGUAGUGCACCUUUAUAGUCACCCAGUUACGUUGUGACGUUUGGUACACCCAAAGGACUCCUACGGUAUCUGGGAGUUGCACGAUCUCAUGGUCUAAGGAAAUGAUACUUGACAUUGGAAAAGCUCUAGCAAACGAACUACACGAUCUUUUGUGCUAUGCUUAGGAUUGGGUCAUGUCCAUCACAUCAUUCUCCUAAUGAUGUGAUCCCGUUAUCAAUGAUAUCCAAUGUCCAUAGUCAGGAAACCAUGACUAUCUGUUGAUCAACGAGCUAGUCAACUAGAGGCUCACUAGGGACACGUUGUGGUCUAUGUAUUCACACAUGUAUUACGAUUUCCGGAUAACACAAUUAUAGCAUGAACAAUAGACAAUUAUCAUGAACAAAGAAAUAUAAUAAUAACCAUUUAUUAUUGCCUCUAGGGCUUAUUUCCAACAGUCUCCCACUUGCACUAGAGUCAAUAAUCUAGUUACAUUGUGAUGAAUCGAACACCCAUAGCGUUCUGGGGUUGAUCAUGUUUUGCUCUAGGGAGAGGUUUAGUCAAUGGAUCUGCUACAUUCAGGUCCUUAUGUACUUUACAAAUAUCCAUGUCUCCAUUUUGAACACUUUCACGAAUGGAGUUGAAGCGACGCUUGAUAUGCCUGGUCUUCCUGUGAAAUCUGGGCUCCUUCGCAAGGGCAAUAGCUCCAGUGUUGUCACAGAAGAGAGUCAUCGGGCCCGACGCAUUGGGAAUCACCCCUAGGUCGGUAAUGAACUCCUUCAUCCAGAUUGCUUCUUGCGCUGCCUCUGAGGCUGCCAUGUACUCCGCUUCACAUGUAGAUCCCGCCACGACGCUUUGCUUGCAACUGCACCAGCUUACUGCCCCUCCAUUCAAAAUAUACACGUAUCCGGUUUGUGACUUCGAGUCAUCCAGAUCUGUGUCGAAGCUAGCGUCGACGUAACCCUUUACGACGAGCUCUUCGUCACCUCCAUAAACGAGAAACAUAUCCUUAGUCCUCUUCAGGUACUUCAGGAUAUUCUUAACCGCUGUCCAGUGUUCCAUGCCGGGAUUACUUUGGUACCUUCCUACCAAACUUACGGCAAGGUUUACAUCAGGUCUGGUACACAGCAUGGCAUACAUAAUAGACCCUAUGGCCGAGGCAUAGGGGAUGACACUCAUCUUUUCUCUAUCUUCUGCCGUGGUCGGGCAUUGAGCCGUGCUCAAUUGCACACCUUGCAAUACAGGCAAGAACCCCUUCUUGGACUGAUCCAUAUUGAACUUCUUCAAUAUCUUGUCAAGGUACGUACUCUGUGAAAGACCAAUGAGGUGUCUUGAUCUAUCUCUAUAGAUCUUGAUGCCUAAUAUAUAAGCAGCUUCUCCAAGGUCCUUCAUUGAAAAACACUUAUUCAAAUAGGCCUUUAUACUUUCCAAGAAUUCUAUAUCAUUUCCCAUCAAUAGUAUGUCAUCCACAUAUAAUAAGAGAAAUGCUACAGAGCUCCCACUCACUUUCUUGUAAACACAGGAUUCUCCAUAAGUCUGUGUAAACCCAAACGCUUUGAUCAUCUCAUCAAAACGAAUGUUCCAACUCCGAGAUGCUUGCACCAGCCCAUAGAUAGAGCGCUGGAGCUUGCAUACCUUGUUAGCAUUCUUAGGAUCGACAAAACCUUCCGGCUGCAUCAUAUACAAUUCUUCCUUAAGAAAGCCAUUAAGGAAUGCCGUUUUGACAUCCAUUUGCCAUAUCUCAUAAUCAUAGAAUGCGGCAAUUGCUAACAUGAUUCGGACGGACUUCAGCUUCGCUACGGGUGAGAAAGUCUCAUCGUAGUCAACCCCUUGAACUUGUCGAUAACCCUUAGCGACAAGUCGAGCCUUAUAGAUGGUCACAUUACCAUCCGCCUCUGUCUUCUUCUUAAAGAUCCAUUUAUUUUCUAUGGCUCGCCGAUCAUCGGGCAAGUCAGUCAAAGUCCAUACUUUGUUUUCAUACAUGGAUCCUAUCUCGGAUUUCAUGGCUUCUAGCCAUUUGUCGGAAUCCGGGCCCGCCAUCACUUCUUCAUAGUUCGAAGGUUCACCGUUGUCUAACAACAUGAUUUCCAGGACAGGGUUGCCGUACCACUCUGGUGCGGAACGUGUCCUUGUGGACCUACGAAGUUCAGCAGUAACUUGAUCCGAAGCUUCAUGAUCAUCAUCAUUAACUUCCUCCCCAGUCGGUGUAGGCACCACAGGAACAUCUUCCCGCGCUGCGCUACUUUCCGGUUCGGAAGGGGUGACUAUCACCUCAUCAAGUUCCACUUUCCUCCCACUUAAUUCUUUUGAGAGAAACUCUUUCUCCAGAAAGGACCCAUUCUUGGCAACAAAGAUCUUGCCUUCGGAUCUGAGGUAGAAGGUAUACCCAAUGGUUUCCUUAGGGUAUCCUAUGAAGACGCAUUUUUCCGACUUGGGUUCGAGCUUUUCAGGUUGAAGUUUCUUGACAUAAGCAUCGCAUCCCCAAACUUUUAGAAACGACAGCUUAGGUUUCCUCCCAAACCAUAAUUCAUACGGUGUCGUCUCAACGGAUUUCGACGGAGCCCUAUUUAAAGUGAAUGCGGCAGUCUCUAAAGCAUAGCCCCAAAAUGAGAGCGGUAGAUCGGUAAGAGACAUCAUAGAUCGCACCAUAUCCAAUAGAGUGCGAUUACGACGUUCGGACACACCGUUUCGCUGAGGUGUUCCAGGCGGCGUGAGUUGUGAAAUGAUUCCACAUUUCUUUAAGUGCGUACCAAAUUCGUGACUUAAAUAUUCUCCACCAUGAUCUGAUCGUAAGAAUUUUAUUUUUCUGUCACGUUGAUUCUCAACCUCACUCUGAAAUUCCUUGAACUUUUCAAAGGUUUCAGACUUGUGUUUCAUUAGGUAGACAUACCCAUAUCUACUUAAGUCAUCAGUGAGAGUGAGAACAUAACGAUAUCCUCCGCGAGCCUCAACACUCAUUGGACCGCACACAUCGGUAUGUAUGAUUUCCAAUAAGUUGGUUGCUCGCUCCAUUGUUCCGGAGAACGGAGUCUUGGUCAUCUUACCCAUGAGGCAUGGUUCGCACGUGUCAAAUGAUUCGUAAUCAAGAGACUCCAAAAGUCCAUCUGCAUGGAGCUUCUUCAUGCGCUUGACAUCAAUGUGACCAAGGCGGCAGUGCCACAAGUAUGUGGGACUAUCGUUAUCAACUUUACAUCUUUUGGUAUUCACACUAUGAAUAUGUGUAACAUCACGUUCGAGAUUCAUCAAGAAUAAACCAUUGACCAGCGGAGCAUGACCAUAAAACAUAUCUCUCAUAUAAAUAGAACAACCAUUAUUCUCGGAUUUAAAUGAGUAGCCAUCUCGAAUUAAACGAGAUCCUGAUACAAUGUUCAUGCUCAAAACUGGCACUAAAUAACAAUUAUUGAGGUUUAAAACUAACCCCGUAGGUAAAUGUAGAGGCAGCGUGCCGACGGCGAUCACAUCGACCUUGGAACCAUUCCCGACGCGCAUCGUCACCUCGUCCUUCGCCAUUCUCCGUUUAUUCCGCAGUUCCUGUUUUGAGUUACAAAUAUGAGAAACCGCACCAGUAUUAAAUACCCAGGAGCUACUACGAGUACUGGUAAGGUACACAUCAAUUACAUGUAUAUCAUAUAUACCUUUGGUGUUGCCGGCCUUCUUGUCCGCUAAGUAUUUGGGGCAGUUCCGCUUCCAGUGACCACUUCCCUUGCAAUAAAAGCACUCAGUCUCAGGCUUGGGUCCAUUCUUCGACUUCUUCCCGGCAACUGGCUUACCGGGCGCGGCAACUCCCUUGCCGUCCUUCUUGAAGUUCUUCUUACCCUUGCCUUUCUUGAACUUAGUGGUUUUAUUUACCAUCAACACUUGGUGUUCCUUUCUGAUCUCCACCUCCGCUGAUUUCAGCAUCGAAUAUACCUCAGGAAUGGUCUUUUCCAUCCCCUGCAUAUUGAAGUUCAUCACAAAGCUCUUGUAGCUUGGUGGAAGCGACUGAAGGAUUCUGUCAAUGACCGCCUCAUCCGGAAGAUUAACUCCCAGCUGAGACAAGCGGUUGUGUAACCCAGACAUUCUGAGUAUGUGCUCACUAACAGAACUAUUUUCCUCCAUUUUACAGCUGAAGAACUUGUCGGAGACUUCAUAUCUCUCGACCCGGGCAUGAGCUUGGAAAACCAUUUCAGCUCUUUGAACAUCUCAUAUGCUCCAUGUUUCUCAAAACGCUUUUGGAGGCCCGGUUCUAAGCUGUAAAGCAUGCCGCACUGAACGAGGGAGUAAUCAUCAGCACGUGAUUGCCAAGCGUUCAUAACAUCUUGGUUCUCUGGGAUUGGUGCAUCACCUAGCGGUGCUUCUAGGACAUAAUCUUUCUUGGCAGCUAUGAGGAUGAUCCUCAGGUUCCGGACCCAGUCCGUAUAGUUGCUGCCAUCAUCUUUCAGCUUGGUUUUCUCUAGGAACGCGUUGAAGUUGAGGACAACGUGGGCCAUUUGAUCUACAAGACAUAUUGUAAAGAUUUUAGACUAAGUUCAUGAUAAUUAAGUUCAUCUAAUCAAAUUAUUCAAUGAACUCCCACUCAGAUAGACAUCCAUCUAGUCAUCUAAGUGAAACAUGAUCCGAGUUAACUAGGCCGUGUCCGAUCAUCACGUGAGACGGACUAGUCAAGAUCGGUGAACAUCUCCAUGGUUAUCGUAUCUUCUAUACGACUCAUGCUCGACCUUUCGGUCCUCCGUAUUCCGAGGCCAUGUCUGUACAUGCUAGGCUCGUCAAGUCAACCUAAGUGUAUUGCAUGUGUUCCGAGGCCAUGUCUGUACAUGCUAGGCUCGUCAACACCCAUUGUAUGCGAACGUUAGAAUCUAUCACACCCGAUCAUCACGUGGUGCUUCGAAACAACGAACCUUCGCAACGGUGCACAGUUAGGGGAAACACUUUCUUGAAAUUAUUAUAAGGGAUCAUCUUACUUACUACCGUCGUUCUAAGCAAAUAAGAUGCAAAACAUGAUAAACAUCACAUGCAAUCAAAUAGUGACAUGAUAUGGCCAAUAUCAUUUUGCUCCUUUGAUCUCCAUCUUCGGGGCGCCAUGAUCAUCUUCGUCACCGGCAUGACACCAUGAUCUCCAUCAUUGUGUCUUCAUGAAGUUGUCACGCCAACGAUUACUUCUACUUCUAUGGCUAACGCGUUUAGCAAUAAAGUAAAGUAAUUUACAUGGCGUUAUUCAAUGACACGCAGGUCAUACAAAAAAUAAAGACAACUCCUAUGGCUCCUGCCGGUUGUCAUACUCAUCGACAUGCAAGUCGUGAUUCCUAUUACAAGAAUAUGAUCAAUCUCAUACAUCACAUAUAUCAUUCAUCACAUCUUCUGGCCAUAUCACAUCACAAGGCACAUGCUGCAAAAACAAGUUAGACGUCCUCUAAUUGUUGUUGCAAGUUUUUACGUGGCUUCUAUAGGUUUCUAGCAAGAACGUUUCUUACCUACGUAAAACCACAACGUGAUAUGCCAAUUUCUAUUUACCCUUCAUAAGGACCCUUUUCAUCGAAUCCGUUCCGACUAAAGUGGGAGAGACAGAUACCCGCUAGCCAUCUUAUGCAACUAGUGCAUGUCAGUCGGUGGAACCUGUCUCACGUAAGCGUACGUGUAAGGUCGGUCCGGGCCGCUUCAUCCCACAAUACCGCCGAAACAAGAUAAGACUAGUAGCGGCAAGAAGAAUUGGUAACAUCUACGCCCACAACUGCUUUGUGUUCUACUCGUGCAUAGUAACUACGCAUAAACCUGGUUCUGAUACCACUGUUGGGGAUCGUAGCAGAAUUUUAAAAAAAUUCUACGCAUCACCAAGAUCCAUCUAUGGAGUAUACUAGCAACGAGGGAAAAGGAGUGCAUCUACAUACCCUUGUAGAUCGCGAGCGGAAGCGUUCAAGUGAACGAGGUUGAUGGAGUCGUACUCGUCGUGAUCCAAAUCACCGAUGACCGAGUGCCGAACGGACGGCACCUCCGCGUUCAACACACGUACGGAGCAGCGACGUCUCCUCCUUCUUGAUCCAGCAAGGGGGAAGGAGAGGUUGAUGGAGAUCCAGCAGCACGACGGCGUGGUGGUGGAAGUAGCGGGUAUCUCGGCAGGGCUUCGCCAAGCUUCUGCGAGAGGGAGAGGUGUUGCAGGGGGAGAGGGAGGCGCCAGGGGCUGUAGUACUGCUGCCCUCCCUUCCCCCACUAUAUAUAGGCCCCUGGGAGGGGGGGCGCCGGCCCUGGAUCCCAUCUACAAGGGGGGGCGGCCUGGGGGGAAACUUGCCCCCCAAGGCAAGUGGGGCGCCCCCCACCCCUAGGGUUUCCAACCCUAGCCGCAGGGGGAGGCCCAUGGGGGCGCCCCAGCCCACUAAGGGCUGGUUCCCCUCCCACUUCAGCCCAUGGGGCCCUCCGGGAUAGGUGGCCCCACCCAGUGGACCCCCGGGACCCUUCCGGUGGUCCCGGUACAAUACCGAUAACCCCCGAAACUUUUCCGGUGGCCGAAACUUGACUUCCUAUAUAUAAUUCUUCACCUCCGGACCAUUCCGGAACUCCUCGUGACGUCCGGGAUCUCAUCCGGGACUCCGAACAACUUUCGGGUUUCCGCAUACUAAUAUCUCUACAACCCUAGCGUCACCGAACCUCAAGUGUGUAGACCCUACGGGUUCGGGAGACAUGCAGACAUGACCGAGACGCCUCUCCGGUCAAUAACCAACAGCGGGAUCUGGAUACCCAUGUUGGCUCCCACAUGUUCCACGAUGAUCUCAUCGGAUGAACCACGAUGUCGAGGAUUCAAUCAAUCCCGUAUACAAUUCCCUUUGUCAAUCGGUACGUUACUUGCCCGAGAUUCGAUCGUCGGUAUCCCAAUACCUUGUUCAAUCUCGUUACCAGCAAGUCACUUUACUCGCACCGUAAUGCAUGAUCCCGUGGCUAACUCCUUAGUCACAUUGAGCUCAUUAUGAUGAUGCAUUACCGAGUGGGCCCAGAGAUACCUCUCCGUCAUACGGAGUGACAAAUCCCAGUCUUGAUCCGUGCCAACCCAACAGACACUUUUGGAGAUACCCGUAGUGCACCUUUAUAGUCACCCAGUUACGUUGUGACGUUUGGUACAUCCAAAGCACUCCUACGGUAUCCGGGAGUUGCACGAUCUCAUGGUCUAAGGAAAUGAUACUUGACAUUGGAAAAGCUCUAGCAAACGAACUACACGAUCUUUUGUGCUAUGCUUAGGAUUGGGUCUUGUCCAUCACAUCAUUCUCCUAAUGAUGUGACCCCGUUAUCAAUGACAUCCAAUGUCCAUAGUCAGGAAACCAUGACUAUCUGUUGAUCAACGAGCUAGUCAACUCGAGGCUUACUAGGGACACGUUGUGGUCUAUGUAUUCACACAUGUAUUACGAUUUCCGGAUAACACAAUUAUAGCAUGAACAAUAGACAAUUAUCAUGAACAAAGAAAUAUAAUAAUAACCAUUUAUUAUUGCCUCUAGGGCACAUUUCCAACAGUCCUCUCAAUUUCUAUCAAAUUUUCUCUAGGCUUAUGUUGCUGUCUUCAUGGGAAUCCCAACCUCCUCUUCCUGUUUUAUCUCCCACGAUGUAGCAGGAUUGUUGGGUUAGCGAUAAUGACAUCAUAUUCACGUGUGUUGAGCGGCAAAGAUCUAGUGGACCUUUGAUUAGGGAAGCUGCACGUGCAUGUUCAGGUCAAUUAGACCUUCGAUUAGAGAAGCUGCACGUGCAUAUUCAGGUCAACACACUGAGAGGAUGCCAACUCGUGGAUGCACUCCUUCAUCCUUUCGGGGGCCAACUGGUAAUUGUAAUUGCCGAUUCGCUAGCGCGCCGCUCCGCCACAUUGCAUUGUCUUGCACCAACAUACACCGCUCUGUACUUGUAGGGGUGCAUGGCUUUGUUAUGAUAUAUUAGAGCACUCACCCUGGUCUAGUCUCGCCACCUUGAAAACAAAACCUAACAUUACAAUACCGUCUCCUCGGGCAGCCGUUCCACAUCAUCACUGCCUCAUCUCUUCAACAACUACCGCAAGAACCAUGUAUAGAACCGCACCAUCAGGAAGGCAACUAAUAUUUGGGAAAUUCUUGGUUUCUUUAAAAGUAUCUGGUCUGGAGUUGCUUUGCUAAUAAUUAAGUAGGAUGCAUUGUAGUAUUGUUUUCAUGUGAAUGGAAAUUGGGAGGCAUGCACCAAAUUAAAAAAGAAAGAAGUUGCGACCUUGUUGUCUUAACUUUCAAAAUUGAGGUAAAUAAAUUCAGCGGUCACAUAAACGUAUUGAUCACAAUAUUAACCAGUUUUGCAAGACAGGUUGAAGUAAUCCUAUGUUCAGCCAGCUCUAUCAUGUGUGUUGGCGUUUAUGAACCUUAUUGGAAAAUGUAAAUUUGUACCGACUUACAUUACUGUUUAACAGAGAAUGGGCUUCCAAAGAAAUAAUUGGUGAGCUGUUUUAAGAUGUUCCAUCUUACCUCUAAUGGUAAGAUUCAUUUUAAAUCUAGAUUGUUGAUUCAUGACAUUUAGUAAUGUCCAUAAACCAAAGAAUGCUAACAAGGUCAUCUAUUUGGAACGGAGGGAGUAAAUGGUAACACGCUAGCUAGUAGCUAAUGUAUAAAGUUGAGUCAUCUAUUUUGGAACCGAGGGAGUAAAUGAUAACACGCUAGUAGCUAAUGUAUUAAUUAGGCACAACUCUUUCUAUCAGAAAUGAUAAAUAUCACGCAAUAUGCUACAGUAAUCACACAUCCAUGUACUUUAGGAUUUAUUAGUAUGUUGGAUUUUUAGAUAUACACCAUAAGUCAAGAUACGCUUAAUUGCACAUCCAUGAAUGACUGGUAGGCCUCAAUCAUUGUCCGCAUUCUUGAUUAGAUGGUGUCUUUGUAUGCAAGCCAUAGACUUUACGUUGAGUAUGUAUUGCAUGUCAGUUUGACAAGAAACUUCGUAAUAGUUUGACGCAAGAUGUUGGAGCAGACUACAAAACCGACUUCCCAAUAGAAAUGUGAGAGUUAGUUUUUCAAAAGUAUGAAACCAUUCCAUAAAGUAUUAUUUUCAUUUCAAUAAGAAUAGUUCGAGAUAUUUUUAGAUCUUAAUUCAUGAUGUUCUCUCAAAAGGUUAGUUUUGAGUGAACCCAAAGUAAAUUACUGCUUGAUACAUACAUUCUUUUUGCAUGGUCUUCAUAUGAUAUAAGUACCAGAAGAAUUUUAUUUUUCAAUGGUCAAUAAUGUGUGCUAAUAGAUUUAUUUCUUUACAUAGAUUGGUUCUUGCAAUUCAAGUUUAAUACUAGUUCAUAUUGGAAAGUAAUGAUCUGUAGAGAACCAAAAAGCUCAAUGUGCCCCCUUUUAUCAUCCACGAGGUAAUAUAUAGCCGACCCAUUGGAUCAACAUAAACGGUCGAUCCAAAACAAUUCGAGAGAAUUUUCAAUUUUAUAAAUAAGCACAUUUUCCAAGUCAAAUGACCACUUACAUGUUUUACUGUUGUAAUAUGAUAGUGACACGUCAGGCCACAACAGUUUGCAGUCAAAAAGAGCAUAACUAUUUAGCAAUGGACCCCUUUUACUAUAGCUGAUCAAUGGGCGGAUAGCUUCUGCAUUACAUUAAUAAGUAGAAGAUAUUUCUAAAUGAUCAAAAUCGUUUCCCCCUAGUUUCCAGGGUUGCCGGAUUCCUCUAGCUGCUCAGGAAGGUUGUCGCACCGACACGGCAAGGCGGGUCCUUGGUCUGACAAUCUCGUGCAGCUCGGGAGGGUUUUACAUGGCGGAAGGGAUGUCCUGCAAGAUGCAUCUGGCAGAUCAAAAACUACUUGUAUCCUUGUUCGAGCAGGAAGAUAAAGCGUGACGGUAGCGGGGGCGUACCAACUAGCUUAGGCACAAUGACUGAAAUACAAGUUUUUCUAGCAUCAUGCAUGCGAGCGACAGAGAAGGAACACCAUCUUAGCUUUUAGGAUGCAAAUGGGAAUGUUGUUGAACCUAUGAUGAAUUGCCAAACAUGAUUUUGAAUUUUAACAAAUUGUGUACUUCCAAAUUAAAUGAACCUAAUAAUGAUGUGCUAGACAAAGUACAUGUCAGUGUAACUAUGGGUAUGAAGGAAAUACUCUUAGCGCCAUAUACAGUUGAAGAAGUAAAAAAAACACUUGGUUUAGCAUCAGAGCCAUGAAACUGUCAGGAUCCGAUGGGUUGCACAAAAUAUUUUAUAAAAGAAUCUCUUCAAUGUUUGGAAACAUAAUUAUCAAUGAAGAUUUCUUAGCUUUGAACAGAAUGAUACCAUAAUUUUUAUGAUUCCAAAGGAUGAAAAUAUACGUAAUGUACAGAGUACUGCCCAAUUUGUCUCUGUAACGUAAUCUAUAUAGUUAUAAACUAACAUUGGGCAAACAGACUCAAAACUAUUUUGUGAGAGAUCAUUGUAGAAUGCCAAAGUGCUUUUUUCCUGUGGCAAAUUAUAGCAGAUGAUAUUCCUGUUGCUUAUGAUUCCUUGGACUGAAUAAAGAAGAAGAAUGGCAAGAAGGGUUGAUGUCGGGUAAAAUUUGAUAUGCACAACACAUAUGAUAGAGCUGAGUUGUGCUUUUAUGACCAAUGAUGAAGAUAAUAGGCUUUGAUGAUGGAUGAAUUAAUAUGAUAAUUGGAUGUGUCUCGUCGCUAAGCUAUUUGGUUCAUUUUAAUUCCAUUGAAAUUGAACGUUUUUUUGCCAACUACGGAUUGCAGUGGGGGUGGGGGUGGGGGUCUCAACCCUACCUCUUUCUCAUUUGCACAGAAGAACUUUCCAGCCUAUUAUCACAUGGGGAAGCGGAGGGUUCCUUGCAUAGCCAUGAAAGCAUAUCGCGAUGUCCCGUAGAACUCACAAACGCUCUUCGAUGACUACUCAUUAUUUCUUAUGAAUGCUCACACGGAAAAUGCAGCUAGCUUUAAAGGGGCGUUGGACCGCUAUUCUAAGUCUUAUGAUAGCUUAUUAGUGUGGAAAAAUCACAGUGUUUGCAACCCUAAAAAAGUGUUGGAAAGAAGGAAGAAGUCUGCACUAUUUUGGAGAAUAUGACCGAAGAAAUUUUAGAUAAAUAUUUGGGACUUCCCACGAUGGUGGGGGACAUAGGGAAGUGACUGUUUUAUUCAUCAAGUAAAGACAGUGUUGAGAAUUAGUGGAUGGAAGGGAAAAAAUAAUAUCGAUGGUAGGUAAAGAAGUGCAAAUGAAAUAUGUAGAUGUCUUUAUUCAACCUUCCGAAGAAAUUUUGUAAAGGAAUCAUGAGAGUCAGUUUUGAGUGAACAUAAUGUAAAUUAAUGCUCAAGAGAAAUGCAUUUAUUUUUGCAUGGUCUCAUCUGAUAUAAGUAGCAAAAUAAUUUUAUUUUGCAAUGUCCAAUAAUGUGUACUAAUGGGCUUAUUUCUUUAUGUAGAUUGAUUCUUAAGUUUAAAACUAGUUCAUCAGUGGAAAGUAAUGAUGUAAAGACACAAAAAAAGCCAUUGUGGACUCUUUCAUCAAUGUCACAGCGCAAUGCAUGUCUCUCAUUAAAAUCCACCAGCAGCUCACGGUCAUUGAGAACAACCAUAUUAUUGACCCAAUUCAACAUUGAACCUGGUAGUGCUUUCUUCUUUUUCUGUUUGCAGGAAGCUAAAUAAAGUUCUUCUGAUGCCUCCAGCACUCGCAAGUCAAUCUGGUACUUGAAGGCCCAGAUUCCGGCCUCGUAAUCCUGCAUCACCCAGACAUCCACAGUGGUCAAAGGAGGCGGGCUAAUCCCAAAAGCAAGUGUCCCGUUCAUGUCAAACAACUUCAUGGUACUGUUAUGAGAACCCAGCUGGGUGGGUGUCAGACUACGCAUCCACCAGAAAUAUUCGGCUUCUGUGUCGAACAUAAUAAUGUCUCUGCCACCGCCCGUCAUGUCUUCGGCACCGUAACGAGGAUUCCAGUGCAGAUUAUUGUGGUGGUAGACAGAAGGACACUCAUAGGAGAACCUAAACAGCUCAUGGAGUAACGUCUGUUCCACUGAAGGCAAUGACUUUGUUGGGAGUUUGACUUUCACAUGACUCGGUUCGUCGGAUCCCACAGUGAGAACAUAUAAACUGUAAUUCAUGGGUGCUGCGACCCUGAGACCCAGAGCACCCUGUAUUCUCCAGUUGGAUGGUGCCGGAAGAAACCGAUUAUGGUGUUGUACAAGCCUCGCUCGAUCUUAGGCUGCGGCAGGAGAGCCUGCUUGCGGGUGGUCGGGUUGCACAUGUAAAACUGGGAUUCCCCGGAGAAGACAACAAAGCCAUCGCAGGCGCCAAGCAGGUGCAUCUUGAAACGGACGCCCGGGACGAAUGACCAGAGCUGUUGAUUGGCGGCGCCGGCGAGCGAGGCGGCAUCGCGGAAGACGAUGAUACCAGCAGGCCGUCCACGGUCGUCAACUAUGGGGAACGACGGUUGGCGGCGGCGGUGUUCGAGGGUGAACUCGGCGUUGAGGUUGCAGCACGCCACGAUGCGCGGACGGCGCGGCAGCGGCCGAUGUCUUUGGGUGGCAGCAGGAUGAGGAUCUGGUCGAUGACGAUCUCCUCGGGCAGGUCGUCGAGCACGGUCGCACCUCUCCUGUUCGUCAUUGCAGGCGCUCCGUCGGUUCCCGUGAUCAGCUAAAAUAAAGGGAGCGGCUAGUGGUCAGGUGACUGAUUUUAAAACUUGGGUCAGUCAUUUUUCUUUUUCUUUUUGCAACGCAGGCCGCGCAGCUCACGGAGCUGGACGUGCGUGCUGUGUCGUUCCUCCAACUAGGCUAGUUCAUAGGUGGGGCAGGGCUUUUGCACUACAUGGGCAUGGUGAAAGCUCUGUACUUAAUGCUCCCACACAACGACAACAAUACUUAUAUCUUAGUGCUAAUGAUCAAUCACGUGGUUGUACGUAAUCACAUUCUUAAUUCUAAAUUAGAAAAACACAAAUUUAAAGGACGAAUAAUAUUAUGCACCUAUGUAUAGCAUAAUACAACAUAAAAACUUCUACUUUCUCUAGUGUUCUCAUCCUCUAUACUAAUAUAGUAACGUAAAAAUUAAAAACAAAAAAACAAAAUAAUAAAGUUUCCUAAGAAAAAAAUUAGUGGCAUUGGUAUUAGCCUUUAAACAAAAUUAAACUAAUAAGGACAACACAUAAUUUAAACAGAAAUUACGCUUUUCCACAAUAUGAAAGAUAAGCAUAUAAUGGUGGGAUUCUCACAAGAUGGAAGUUAUCUAAAAACGAAUGAAUCAACGACAUUGCUAUUACCCUUAAAGGAGAAAGCAAUAAAAUAAAAAAUAAAAAAGUCAAAAUAAGGAAGUUUUCUAAAGAAUGAAUUAGUGGCAUUCGUAUAAACCUUUAAGAAAAAGAAAAUGAAAAAAAAAUAGAAAUUUUUCACACAAUUUACACAGAAAUUGCACUUUUCUAUAGUAUGCAAAAACAAGCAUAUAAUAGUGGAGUUUUCAUAAAAUAAAAGUUUCCUCAAAACGAAUGAAUUAAUGGCAUUCGUAUUACCAUUAGAGCAGACAAAAAUUGAAACACAAACUAAAACUAAAUCAAAAUAAUGAAGUUUUCUAAGGAAGAAUGAAUUAGUGGCAUGGUAUUACACUUUAAGAAAAACAAAAAAGAAAUAAAUACUAAAACAAAAUCAAAAUAAUUAGUGGCUUUUGUAUUACCCUUCAAGAAGAAAGAAAAUGAAAUCAAACUAAAACAAAAUCAAACAAUAAGGUUUCCUAAGAAAGAAUGAAUUUGUUGCAUUGGUAUUACCCUUUAGCAAAAAGAAAAUGGAAAAAAUAUGUAAAGCAAAUAAUGACAAAUUUUGCACACAAUUGACACAUAAAUUGCAAUUUUCUAUAGUAUGCAAAAAUAAGCAUAUAAUAGUGGAAUUUUCGCAAAAAGAAGUUUCCUAAGUACGAAUGAAUUAGAUUAGACAGAAACUGAAACAAAAACUGAAAUAAAAUCAAAAUAAUGAAGGUUUUUAAGGAAGAAUGAAUUAGUGGCAUGGUAUUACUCUUUAAGAAAUAUGAAAAGAAAUAAAUACUAAAACAAAAUCAAAAUAAUGAGGUUUUCUAGGAAAGAAUGAAUUACUGGCUUUGGUAUUGCCCUUCAAGAAGAAAGAAAAUGAAUUCAAACUAUUACAAAAUCAGACGAUGUGGUUUUUUAAGAAUGAAUGAAUUGGUGGGUUAGUUUUACCCUUUAGUAAAAAGAAAAUGAAAAAUUAUCUGAAAUAAACAAUGACAAAAUUUGCACACAAUAUACCCAAAAUUGCGCUUGUUUAAAAUAUGCAAGAAUAAGCAUGUACUGCGGAAAUUUUCGCCAGAAAAUCCUACGCAAGAAUGAUCAAUGGCAUUGAUAUUACCCUUAAUGAAGAAACAAAAUAAAAUUAUAACUAUAUCAAAAUCAAAAUAAUAAACUUUUAUAAGAAAAAUGAAAUAGUGGCAUUGGUAUUCCUUUUUAAGAAGAAAAAUAAUGAAUUUAAAAAAAACUUGCACACAACUUCACACUAAAAUUGCAUUUUUUUUUUGUAGUAUACCAACAAUAAUCAUAUGACAGUGUAAUUUUCGCGCAUAUUGUAUUGUAUAGCAUUUGAAUAUAUAUAUUUAGACUCGCCCAACACCCAAAAAUACCUACAAAAGAAAAUAAUAUAAUCUAACUAAUAAAGAAUAACAAAAAACAAAAGAAGAAACACAUAAAACAUAUUUCUUUUAAAGAAAAACAAUGUGGCAAAGGGGAGGGCUGGGUGGAAUACGUGGGCUUCAGCCCAGUAGGAAGUUGACUGACCCAAAUAUGUGGUCAGUCAAAAAACAAAAUCUAAGCCAGCUCAUAGUACUCAAUGGCCAGAAAAAUCUAUAGGGAAGUGACUGAAAGCAAAAAAUCAAUGGCCAGAAAAAUCUACUGACGAAAAGUGGUUUUUCAGGCAACUUACGUGUAGCUAAUGUGUAAAAUAAAAGAGCAGCAAAUCAACUUUUGUCCACAAUAAAGCAGAAGCGAGAGAUCCGCCUAUCGAAACAUGUGAUGUACGUCGGUUGACGGGGCAACAUACGGCUCCUAGCCUUUUUUUCCCAAACAUUGGCCGUACAACAGGAGGAUUUUGUGAACACGCUCAGGAAGGAAAAAAAAGUUAUAUUAUGGAGCUCCCAAACUUGAAACGCAUGCUGCGAUUUGAUACGAGAGCUUUCAAAGUGUGCGUUGCAGUCCCAAACUUGGC
rnacentral:lncRNA from 1 species